UGGGGAAUUUUGGACAAUGGGCGAAAGCCUGAUCCAGCAAUGCCGCGUGUGUGAAGAAGGCCUUCGGGUUGUAAAGCACUUUUGUCCGGAAAGAAAUCCUUGGCUCUAAUACAGUCGGGGGAUGACGGUACCGGAAGAAUAAGCACCGGCUAACUACGUGCCAGCAGCCGCGGUAAUACGUAGGGUGCAAGCGUUAAUCGGAAUUACUGGGCGUAAAGCGUGCGCAGGCGGUUUGCUAAGACCGAUGUGAAAUCCCCGGGCUCAACCUGGGAACUGCAUUGGUGACUGGCAGGCUAGAGUAUGGCAGAGGGGGGUAGAAUUCCACGUGUAGCAGUGAAAUGCGUAGAGAUGUGGAGGAAUACCGAUGGCGAAGGCAGCCCCCUGGGCAAGUACUGACGCUCAUGCACGAAAGCGUGGGGAGCAAACAGGAUUAGAUACCCUGGUAGUCCACGCCCUAAACGAUGUCAACUAGUUGUUGGGGAUUCAUUUCCUUAGUAACGUAGCUAACGCGUGAAGUUGACCGCCUGGGGAGUACGGUCGCAAGAUUAAAACUCAAAGAAUUGACGGGGUCAAGCUGUUUCCU
rnacentral:rRNA from 1 species